rnacentral:rRNA from 1 species
UACCAGCACCCCGAGUGGUCGGGACGAUUAUUGGGCCUAAAGCAUCCGUAGCCGGUUUUACAAGCCCUCCGUUAAAUCCAGCUGCUUAACAGAUGGGCUGCGGAGGAUACUAUAAGACUAGGAGGCAGGAGAGGCAAGCGGUACUCAGUGGGUAGGGGUAAAAUCCGUUGAUCCAUUGAAGACCACCAGUGGCGAAGGCGGCUUGCCAGAAUGCGCUCGACGGUGAGGGAUGAAAGCUGGGGGAGCAAACCGGG